UUAUUACACCGAUCUAAUCAUCUCCAGAUUAAAUUAUUUCUGACAGUUUUACAGUUAGAUUUGAUCCAGUUUAAAAGUAAAAGCUGGUUGUUUUGUCUGUGUUUGAGGAAUUAAAACUCCGUUCUGUUUUUAAACCCGAGAUUCUUACUGAGGUGCUGUUUUCCACAUGCAGUGCUUGGCUGUGUUGGAGGCCACCAAGAAAGACUUCCUGGCUGUCAUGUGGAAGCUAAGUGGGCUGGGGUCAAAAGGGUUUCUGGCCAUGGUGCUUGUGCUGCAGUGAUCUUGUUCUCCAUCACACUCCAACACAGGUAGCCAUCUUCACCCUCUCCCAAGAGGUGAUGGUACGACUCUGAAUAAACACUCUAUUAUUAUAAAUAAAGUGUGACUGUGUCUUGUAGUCCACCCACCAACCUUUUUCUGUUCAGUGGUUUGACUUGUGCUACACAGAGGUGAGUCCAGUUAUGCUGCAAGAAGUGUAAGUAUGAUGGGGUUGACGAGUGGGAGGAGAGGUUCUUCCUGUGCAAGAUGGACCAGCAAACAGAUUUAAAGGCUGUUGUGAAUGAUGGGUUACAGAAAUGUCUUCCUGUGUUUAUUAUUAUUUGAAGUUAUAUAUUCUGAUUUGUAAGCAAGAUUAUGAAGUCUCCUUUUGCUAAUCAUUUUAGAGCAUUAUUAAAAAGUCCAUGUACACAAUGUUUAUCCCGAGUGCCUUUUUGAUGUAUUUUAUUAUCCUGCACAAAGCAAAAACACAAUUUGAGUGUAGAUGCCCCUCGUAAAUAUUAACAUAGUAAGAGCAAAUGGACAAGUGAAACUAAUCAAUAUAAAAUCUCUAAAGAAGGGCAUGAUGGUACUGAUUUUCUCUUCACACACAUGGUAUGCACGUACUUGGAGUAAAUUUUAAUGAACAGAAUAUGGGUUCUAUUCAGUACUUGACAAAUGAUUCAGUGCGGAUCAAAUGUGAACAAAUGAGCCAUGAAUGUAUCUGUGUUCUAUAUAAUAUCAUUUUUAAGUGGAUUUUUAAAUGACAUUAAAACCCUAGCCAGGCUGCACUGGGUUUUUUUUUUUAAUUUUUUUUUUUUUUAAGAGUAGGACACAUUCAUCCAUCCAUUUUUCCUACACAGAGUCAAGACUCACAGGGGACUCAGGGCACAAGGUGGGGGGACACCCAGGACAGGGUGCCAACCCAUUGCAGGGCACAAUUGCACACAUUUUUUAGAGAUGCCAAUCGGCCUACAACGCAUGUCCUUGGACUGCGGGAGGAAACCAGAGUACCGGAUGAAACCCCCUGAAGCACGAUGAGAACUACGAUGCAGGGCAGAGGCAGGAAUCGAACCUCCAACCCUGGAGGUGCAAGGCAAACAUGAUAACCUAGGGGCAGCAAUUGGCUGCCCUCUCCCCUCCCUGAUGGAUAUUUACACUUCCUGUUGCCUCAGCAGAGGAAAAACUAUCAUUAAGGACAGUUCUCACCCUGGCUUUGAUCUGUUCAAUCUGUUGCCCUCAGGGAGACGUUACAGGUGCAUCAAAACAAGGACUAGUAGAUUUAAGAAUAGUUUCUUCCCGAAAGCUAUUACCAUUAUAAACAAAUACAUGUACUGAGUUCACAGCAUAUGUAUAUAGUGUUUCAAAACUGUGCAUUUCAUAGUACCUCCCCCAUCCGCCGCAAUAUCUUGUUCAUUUAUCUUGUUUAUUUAUGUUUAUUUAUCUGUUUAUUCUUCUUGUUUAUUGAAUGUACGUUUGCACGGAAUAAAAAGGAGUGGCUC